rnacentral:lncRNA from 1 species
CCCGCGACCCUGUAUGGGACAGGCGGUUCCGAAAAUGUGUGUGUGUGUGUGUGUGUGUGUGUGUGUGUGUGUGUGUAUCUUAUAAUAGUAAAAAAAAAAAAAUUGGUAGGAGGGUAUCAGGAUUUGUCUAUCCUGUGUUUUAUGCACCUACUUGAACGAUGAACCUCGGUGCAGCAAGUGGUAGGUAACAAAUUAGGUUUACUUGAGAGUCACAUGUCUGCAGCUAUAUCUCUUUCUCUUAAUGUAAUGCAUAAAUUGUACUUCUGCUGAGUUGUGCGUCGCUUUGGACAAAAGCGUCUGCUAAAUGAAUAAAUGUAAAUGUAAAUGAGCAAAUGUUAAUGCUGUUGCCAUCAUUUUAAACAACAGGAAAGGCCAACGGAGCGGCGAGAGCUACCGACAAGAUAAAGAAUAUCUUGAGGUCCCAUGAGGCUCGUGGCUGAUCUGUAGGAUCGUUCAGGCGUGUUUGCUCCCGUGCUGCAGACCCCUCUGGCUCAAAUAAAAUCCCACGUCCCAAGUGAGCGAAGAUGUCAAAACAGCAAAGCCAGUAAUUGCCUUCAGAGAGUCUGGAUGUUUCAGAUCCUAAGGAUGAACAAACCAGAAUAUCUACCGUGAAGUCUGUCGACAGGCUGGCACCCAGAAGUGUCCUGUGGAGCACCUUUUCGCUGCAGCGAUUCUGUGCCAAUUGUUAUAUCCCUCAGACUGAAGCCUCUUCUCCCAGCUCAGGUCAGCUUGUCUCAGCUGGGCUAGCGCCACCGGCAUGUGACCGGACCUGUGGAACCCGAGCCAGUGGGCAGGUGCUGCACCGUGAUUGAGUGCUGAGCGAGGUUUCCUCGGCACACCGAGGGGUUACAAGCUAUUGGCACAAAGCUGGCGUUCAACUGCUGCUCACCUUCAAUGAGUGUGGCUCUUGAGAGAACGGUGGCGGACUCAAGUGCGGCGUGGAGUGUGUGGUUUAUUCAAGGAAUAUCCAAGAGACGGGGUCACAAAACAGGCAAUGGGUCUUCGAGGUGCGAACGUCGUAACAAGGACAAUCCAAAAAGCAAGACACAUGCAGAGAACUCCCAGGAUUGACCAGCUAGGAGAUGGCUGGCUGAGACUUCAGUAUCUAAGAGCAAAUUCCUGUCUGAAUCGUCUAGAGUGACUCUGUCUAAGCCCUGAAGAAGUUUUAAAACACUUCCACCCACAUUUGUGACAGAACUCUCUCUAAUAAAUGUCAUGAUGGACAAGUUGUUUCUGUCUCC